GGGCGCAUAGCUCAGCCUGGUUAGAGCGUUUGCUUGACAUGCAAAAGGUCCCCCGUUCAAGUCGGGGUGCGCCCA
rnacentral:tRNA from 1 species